rnacentral:rRNA from 1 species
UACGGGGGGGGCAAGCGUUGUUCGGAAUUACUGGGCGUAAAGGGCUCGUAGGCGGCCAACUAAGUCAGACGUGAAAUCCCUCGGCUUAACCGGGGAACUGCGUCUGAUACUGGAUGGCUUGAGUGUGGGAGAGGCGCGUGGAAUUGCAGGUGUAGCGGUGAAAUGCGUAGAUAUCUGCAGGAACACCCGUGGCGAAAGCGGCGCGCUGGACCACAACUGACGCUGAGGAACGAAAGCUAGGGGAGCAAACAGG